GAGAAGACCACUGAAUGUAAACACAGAUCAGAUUAGGUGAAAUUCACUGGAAUGCCAAAACGGACCAUGGGUUUCUGUGUAGGUUUUAUAAAAGUUCAGACCGUCAUGUCUGUUGUGCUGUUUGUCUUGGCAUCUACAACUGUGACGACUGUAGA